rnacentral:rRNA from 1 species
UGGUGGUUAGAUUAAAAGUUUAACCUGCCCACUGAUUGGAACAAAAUUAAAUGGCCGCGGUAUAUUGACCGUGCAAAGGUAGCAUAAUCGUUAGUUUUUUAAUUGGAAUCUUGUAUGAAUGGUUGGACAAAAGAAAAUCUGUCUUUAUAUUAUUAAUUGAAUUUAACUUUUAAGUGAAAAGGCUUAAAUGGAUUAAAGUGACGAUAAGACCCUAUAAAGCUUUAUAUAGAUAUAUUAUUUAAUUAAAUUUUUAAUAAAAAUUUAGUAGUAAAAUUUAUUUUAUUGGGGCGAUAAGAGUAAAAUUUUUAUUAACUGCUUUAAGUUUUGAAUACAUUUAUGUUUGAUUAAAAUUUUAAAUGAUCCUAAAUAAAGAUUAAAAGUUUAAGUUACUUUAGGGAUAACAGCGUUAUUUUUUUUGAGAGUACUUAUCGAAAAAAAAGUUUGCGACCUCGAUGUUGAAUUAAAAUUUCUUUAUAAUUGCAGAAGUUAUAAAAGUAGGUCUGUUCGACCUUUAAAAUUUUACAUGAUCUGGU